GUCGAUGGGAAACGGGUUAAUAUUCCCGUACUUGGUGUUACUGCGAAGGGGGGACGGAGAAGGCUAUGUUGGCCGGGCGACGGUUGUCCCGGUUUAAGCGUGUAGGCUGGUUUUCCAGGCAAAUCCGGAAAAUCAAGGCUGAGGCGUGAUGACGAGGCACUACGGUGCUGAAGCAACAAAUGCCCUGCUUCCAGGAAAAGCCUCUAAGCAUCAGGUAACAUCAAAUCGUACCCCAAACCGACACAGGUGGUCAGGU
rnacentral:rRNA from 1 species